rnacentral:rRNA from 1 species
UACAGAGGUCCCGAGCGUUGUUCGGAUUCACUGGGCGUAAAGGGUGCGCAGGUGGGUUUGCAAGUUUGAUGUGAAAGCCCCGGGCUUAACCCGGGAAUGGCAUUGAAUACUGCAGAUCUGGAGGAUUGGAGGGGGGACUGGAAUUCUUGGUGUAGCAGUGAAAUGCGUAGAUAUCAAGAGGAACACCAGUGGCGAAGGCGAGUCCCUGGACAAUACCUGACACUGAGGCACGAAAGCGUGGGGAGCAAACAGG